rnacentral:rRNA from 1 species
CAUCACUGGUGUUCGGGUUGUCAUGCCAAUGGCACUGCCCGGUAGCUAAAUGCGGAAGAGAUAAGUGCUGAAAGCAUCUAAGCACGAAACUUGCCCCGAGAUGAGUUCUCCCUGACUCCUUGAGAGUCCUGAAGGAACGUUGAAGACGACGACGUUGAUAGGCCGGGUGUGUAAGCGCAGCGAUGCGUUGAGCUAACCGGUACUAAUGAACCGUGAGGCUUAACCUUACAACGCCGAAGGUGUUU